AAAACAUCCAGUCACUCUAUUGUGACAUUGGACUUGGCUGUACACUGCAUCAUGUCUGGUCCGCCAUGUGAUGCUGUAAUGUGUCCAUCAGGCAGAUCCAGUCCUGGCUGACAUCGAGACGGUUUGUCGGGGUUUGGAGCAUGAGACACCACAGGAACAUCCACAGGCACCGACACAUGUCAGAGAAAAUCUUUACUUUGUUUGUCUAUUGGAGGGGUUUCAUGUGGGUGUGUUUUUUGUGUGUGUUUUUUUUUACCAGUGUUGUUUGUUUGUUUCAGACCAGUCCUCCACUGCUUCUAAAUGACGUUUCAGCCCCUCCAGCAGAGGUGAAUGAAGAAUAACAACACUUAAGACUCCUGAUCUUUUUCUAAAGUUUAUUGUUGAACAAUUCUUGAUCUUUGUUUCCCCUUAAUGGUGACGGUCACAUGUACAAACGUCUUCAGUGUUUGAAUGUGCUGUUAUUUUCAGGGACCAGCUUUAGAGAAUAUCUUUAGUCCACCAGACUCUUCAUCAGGACCUUCACACCAGGUAAAAUCAACAAAACCGUAACACCUGAAUGUUUUAAUCCACACUGUCUUACAGCACAAUGAGGGAUGAUUUGUCAUUCAUAUCCAUUAACAGUUCUGCCACUUUACUGUUGGUUGAUGACUGUUUGAUUGAGAAAACUGUUUUAUUAAACACAGACUAUAGUGUUUUCUGUUUCUCUGCCUACAGGCUUCUUCCACGAAUGAGUUGAUGGAAAUCUUCUCCCCCAAGAUGGAAUCACCAAUGGUGCCCAGCCAGAGUCUAUGUACCAGUCAGCCAGAGUCUCCACAGCUCUCCUGCCCUCCAACGCUCUCCAGCUCUCAGAUCCUCUCCAUGUUCCCCACACAGCCAGUGGGGGGCUCUCCAUACUCCUCUCCUACCUACCCCCCCACCAACAUGCCCUGGGGCCAGCAGGGGCUUGUGGGUAAUCAGUGGGCAGGCCCUGCUGGGGCGCCCUGGCCCCCGGUGCCAAAUGGUAUGCAAGCAUGGGCACCAAUUGGCCUCACAGCGCUCCCAGCAGGCGGCCAGGUUCAGGGUCACGACUCUCAGCCGGGAACCGUUAGUGGAGGAAACACACCCACCUCACCCACUGCUGUCAACGAGUGUGUCGACCCGUUAGACUCCCUCUGGACUGGUCUUGGUGCCUCUGGAGCAACAGUACCAGUGCAGCCAGCGCCCCCCACCUUAAACCAGAAUCUGAUCUGAUGAUUUGAAAAAUUGUUGAUGUGGUUUGGAUUUUUUGCUGAAAAAAAAUUAAUAGAUUUCAAAUGAAAGGACAAGUUCAGCUAAAAGUGUAAAUAGACUCAUUAUGUACUCAACCCUAUGGUGAUAGAAAGCUGGGAGUCAAUAAACAUUUCUGGAACUUCACAGCAGAACAGCGGUGCAGCCCCAACAACUGAUGUAGAUGGGGACUUGUUUUAAAAUGUAAAAUGCAGGAAUACAGUCUGCGGAUGCCCAAAUUGAUUUGAAAAGAUGUUAUUUAAAUCCUCGACGACUUCAUUGAUAUGAUUGCGCUUUUUGCUUUGUAGCUACAAUGAAGAUUUGGGCUUUAAAGCGGGUGCAAAUAACAUCUUUUAUUAUUAAUUUGGGAUCUGUAGGCUUCAGAGACUUGGAUUAUGGAGCCUUUAUGGGUUAUUUAGUGCAGUUAUCCACAUCUACUUCAGCUGUUCAGGAGAACACUGCAACACUGUUUUGCUGUGAAGCUCCAGAAACGUCUGGAGUCCUAAACCGCCCCUGACUUUCCAAUGGCAUUAGGGCGAGUAGAUAAUGACUGAAUUGUUCAUAUUUUUCAUGAACUUAUCCUUUAACACCACUAAAUUUUCCUGAUUUUGAUUUACAUGGAAGUUGUGGAUGAACAUGAAAGCUGCUGCAAGCUCUGGCAUUGUUUUAGCCAAUUUCCUCUCUGUUUUGCAAUUAGCACUCCCCUCCCUCGUCCUUAUGUCGCCACACUUUAACAACUCCUUUCUCUCUUUGUCUCUUCCUUUUUCUUCAAGCGUUUGGUAGUAUAAGCAGUCAAUUGGUGCUUACACCUACACAGGAGGAUCCUGCUCUUUUCCCCUGAGCAUUAGGGAGUUCUCUAUCCUGAGUGGAUAAAGUAGGCAGGGUUGCCGGAAAACAUCAGCAAAGAGAGGAGAGACAUGAGUUACUGACCAAACACUCUAUAGCAGUGACGACUGUUGGAAUAUAGCGAUAUGAUGCAGGACUUUGUUUUCAGUUCUAAAUUAAUGUAAGAGCGUUGAAUGGAUUUUUAAAAGCACUCGGACGACAGCAGCUAAACCUCUCGCAGCACAUGGUAUUUGUGUAACCGUCACCAUAAAUGGUAACAAAAAAGAUACAUGAGAGAAAGAAGAAACAGCUGCUCACUGAAACCCACACAAAUGUCAUUUCAAAUGUUAUUUUGUGUAAAUCUUGACUUCCUUUAUUUGUAAUCAAAUAUUUGUGUUGCUAUUAAAAAAAACUAGAAGAUUAGCCGAUAAUUACUGUCACUGUGAACUGAGAAAUACUGUGGCGUGAUCCAAAACAGAACAGAUUCACUGUUUACAUGGAAAAAUUACAGUUGAAAUCCUAAAAUACUAUCAAUAAAGAUGUCAGCAUUUGACACUAAUCAAAUUUGAUUUAGUAUGUUCUGUUUUUUGAGUUUCACCUAAUACUUGAAAUGACUUUUUCUCUCUUUAUUUGGUUUGUGCUUCUUUGAUAUCAAAUUAACUUGAUUUUUUUUCUCUAAAAAAAUUAAUAAAAUACAAAUAAAACUCAUAUUGUGUCCUUCUGUUUUUCUUCUUUCUGCUUUUCUUAUCCUGUUGCUGAGAAAAAG
rnacentral:lncRNA from 1 species